ACGCGUGGAACCUUACCAGGUCUUGACAUCCUCUGACACUCCUAGAGAUAGGACGUUCCCCUUCGGGGGACAGAGUGACAGGUGGUGCAUGGUUGUCGUCAGCUCGUGUCGUGAGAUGUUGGGUUAAGUCCCGCAACGAGCGCAACCCUUGAUCUUAGUUGCCAGCAUUAAGUUGGGCACUCUAAGGAGACUGCCGGUGACAAACCGGAGGAAGGUGGGGAUGACGUCAAAUCAUCAUGCCCCUUAUGACCUGGGCUACACACGUGCUACAAUGGAUGGUACAAAGGGCAGCAAAGCGGUGACGCCUAGCGAAUCCCAUAAAACCAUUCUCAGUUCGGAUUGUAGGCUGCAACUCGCCUACAUGAAGCUGGAAUCGCUAGUAAUCGCGGAUCAGCAUGCCGCGGUGAAUACGUUCCCGGGCCUUGCACACACCGCCCGU
rnacentral:rRNA from 1 species